rnacentral:rRNA from 1 species
UACGUAGGGUGCGAGCGUUAAUCGGAAUUACUGGGCGUAAAGCGCACGUAGGCGGCGGCUCAAGUCAGGUGUGAAAUCCCCGGGCUUAACCUGGGAAUUGCGCUUGAAACUAGGUUGCUAGAGUGUGGCAGAGGGGGGUGGAAUUCCACGUGUAGCAGUGAAAUGCGUAGAGAUGUGGAGGAACACCGAUGGCGAAGGCAGCCCCCUGGGUCAAC